rnacentral:rRNA from 1 species
UACGUAGGGGGCAAGCGUUUGUCCGGAUUUAUUGGGCGUAAAGAGCGUGUAGGCGGCCUGAAAGGUCAGCUGUGAAAACUCGAGGCUCAACCUCGAGACGUCGGUUGAAACCAUCUGGCUAGAGUCCGGAAGAGGAGUGUGGAAUUCCCGGUGUAGCGGUGAAAUGCGCAGAUAUCGGGAAGAACACCCGUGGCGAAGGCGGCACUCUGGGACGGUACUGACGCGUGAGACGUGGAAAAGCGUGGGGAGCGAACAGG